ACGGAAGGCAGCAGUGGGGAAUAUUGGACAAUGGGCGCAAGCCUGAUGCAGCGAUGCCGCGUGAGGGAAGAAGGUUUUCGGAUUGUAAACCUCUGUCAACAGGGACGAAAUAGACGGUACCUGUGAAGGAAGCUCCGGCUAACUACGUGCCAGCAGCCGCGGUAAUACGUAGGGAGCAAGCGUUAUCCGGAAUUACUGGGUGUAAAGGGAGUGUAGGCGGGACUGUAAGUCAGAUGUGAAAUAUACCGGCUCAACUGGUAGACUGCAUUUGAAACUGCGGUUCUUGAGUGAAGUAGAGGUAAGCGGAAUUCCUAGUGUAGCGGUGAAAUGCGUAGAUAUUAGGAGGAGCACCAGUGGCGAAGGCGGCUUACUGGGGUUUAACUGACGCUGAGGCUCGAAAGCGUGGGGAGCAAACAGGAUUAGAUACCCUGGUA
rnacentral:rRNA from 1 species